rnacentral:rRNA from 1 species
GUCUACGGCCAUGCCACCCUGAACAAGCUCGAUCCUGUCUGAUCUCGGAUGCUAAGCAUGGGCGGGCCUGGUUAGUACCUGGAUGAGAGACCACAUAGGAAGACUAGGGGCUAUAGGUG